rnacentral:rRNA from 1 species
CUGAAGCGCGUACACACCGCCCGUCACUCUCCCCCAUAAACGCAAAGCCCAUAAAUAAUAACACUACUAUCAACAGGGGAGGCAAGUCGUAACAUGGUAAGUAUACCGGAAGGUGUACUUGGACAAACU